rnacentral:rRNA from 1 species
UGGGGAAUAUUGGACAAUGGGCGCAAGCCUGAUCCAGCCAUGCCGCGUGAGUGAUGAAGGCCCUAGGGUUGUAAAGCUCUUUCACCGGUGAAGAUAAUGACGGUAACCGGAGAAGAAGCCCCGGCUAACUUCGUGCCAGCAGCCGCGGUAAUACGAAGGGGGCUAGCGUUGUUCGGAUUUACUGGGCGUAAAGCGCACGUAGGCGGACUUUUAAGUCAGAGGUGAAAUCCCGGGGCUCAACCCCGGAACUGCCUUUGAUACUGGAAGUCUUGAGUAUGGUAGAGGUGAGUGGAAUUCCGAGUGUAGAGGUGAAAUUCGUAGAUAUUCGGAGGAACACCAGUGGCGAAGGCGGCUCACUGGACCAUUACUGACGCUGAGGUGCGAAAGCGUGGGGAGCAAACAGG